CAGAAGAGAAAUCCAAGUACAGCAGGUUCCUGUAGUUGUCCAGCAUGACCUCCCUGUACAGAGCCCGCUGAGUCAGGGUCAGG